GACGAACGCUGGCGGCGUGCUUAACACAUGCAAGUCGAACGGAAAGGCCCUGCUUUUGUGGGGUGCUCGAGUGGCGAACGGGUGGGUAACACGUGAGUAACCUGCCCUUGACUUUGGGAUAACUUCAGGAAACUGGGGCUAAUACCGGAUAGGAGCUCCUGCUGCAUGGUGGGGGUUGGAAAGUUUCGGCGGUUGGGGAUGGACUCGCGGCUUAUCAGCUUGUUGGUGGGGUAGUGGCUUACCAAGGCUUUGACGGGUAGCCGGCCUGAGAGGGGGACCGGCCACAUUGGGACUGAGAUACGGCCCAGACUCCUACGGGAGGCAACGGUGGGGAGUAGUGCACAAUGGGAGGAAGCCUGAUGCGGCAACGCCGCGUGCGGGAUGACAGCCUUCGGGUUGUAAACCGCUUUCGCCUGUGACGAAGCGUGAGUGACGGUAAUGGGUAAAGAAGCACCGGCUAACUACGUG
rnacentral:rRNA from 1 species